GGCUGGGGGCGGGGUGGGGGCGAUGCCCUUAGCUGCAAAGGCUGCUGGCCUCGGUGGGCUCACGGGGCGGAGAAGAUGGUCGGGCUGCAGGAGGAGGCGCCUGGACCUCCAGAGCAGAGUCGGACAAUACAAGCGCCUCGGACCGAGUCCCCGAACCUGCCCUAGCCAAAAUGGCGGCCGAGAAAGAGCGGAAGUGACACAGGGUCUCACUCUGUUGUCCAGGCAUGAUCACAGCUCACUGCAGCCUUGACCUCCCAGACUCAAGUGAACCUCCCACCUCAGCCUCCCAAGUAGCUGGGACCACAGGUUAAAGAGGCUUUUGUAUACUGGAGAUAUAAGCAAAAAAGGUCUAAGGUGACUUUACGCAGAGAUUGAAGGAUGAGCAGCAGAUGGUCAUCAAGGAGCAUGGAAACAGCAUUUCAGGCAAAGGAAAAUAGAACUCUGUGAACUCAGAAGCAUGCUUAUGGCAUGGAAAGCAAAAAGGAAAGAGCACAAGGCAGAGGUCAGAAAGGGAGGCAGGGGCCAACAAACACAUAGGGGCUUGAGGGACAAGGGAAGGAACUUGGAUUUUUCCCUAGAUGUUAGUGGGAACUCCCUGAACUCCCUGAACUGGAGGGACAAUAAUCUGAUUCUGGUUUUGUGUAUCUAGCUUAAACUCAGGACAGCUUCCCAAAUCUUAUUCACAGAGGUUUUGUGAUCUUUUGGGCUAAGAAUUUAAUUAUAUUGCCUACAAACAAAUAUAAUUGUGUAUGUUUUACUAACAUUUAACUAAAUUCUUGUCUUACUGUAUUAACAUUUCCAUGUUUAAUGAUAGCUAGCAUGCCUGUAUUAAUGCAUGUAUUGGAAAUGAUUCAGCAUUUCACUAUUUGGUGUGAUAUUUGUAUUAGGACUGGGUUAUUUUGAUUAUGCUUAAGAGGUUUCCUUCUAUUCUUAAAGUUUUAACUAGAAAAUAGUAGUAAAUAAUAUCUCCUUUAGCAUCUACAGACUUAACCACACUACAUUGUUAACAUAAUGAAUGAAUUAUAAGUGAUUACCAAUAAUAAGCCAUUCUGGCAUUCCUGGAAUAAACUCUUUUGUUCAUGGUGUUUUACUCUAAUAACUCAAGGCUUAAUUCCAUUUAUCAGAGAAGCCACCUUCCACCUUUUUCUGUGGUCUGAAAGAAUUCAGAUAACGAACUACCUGUUGAUUUGCUCCUCAGGACUCCUAAAAUACAUCAUUUAGUCUCAAAUGUG